UUGGACAUUAUAUUAGUUAUUUCCUUUCCCAUUCAAGAGUUGUUGAACAUUUUCUUGUAGGCCGAUAUGUCCUGUGUAAAUGGAGUAACGUUAGAAAAUAUAUUCUCUCUACCACACCAGGAAUGCAAAUAUGGUCGUGUUGACACAGAUCAACAAUGGAAGGCACAAUCCGCAGAAUACGGUCCAGGUUGGCUUUUUAAGUAACAGCUAUUCAAGCAAGAAAACAAACAAAACAGUUUAUUUUUUUUUCAUGUAGGCUAUUUUGUUGAAAAAAGUGAUAUUAUACUUUCAUACUCUGAAGACGCCAAUUAUAAAAGCAGCACAUUAUCUGAUUAAGGUUGCGUGGUCCAAACAUUUCAUAUUAGAGUAAACACCAUCCCUAAAUUAUGACUGUCAAUAUUACUUUGAAUUAAUAUUCUUUUAUAUUUUCAGUCGGCCUUGACUUUAGUUUUUUUGUUAUUGAAAUUCCAACCAAUCAAAAAGCGCAGGCAGCGUUCUUCAGAAGCGACAGUCGUGUCACCAUGGUUGCAGUUUAUGCCUUUUUGUUAUUUUUUAUUUUAUUUCAUUGCCAUUCAAAUUAAAAAACAAAUUCAAACCCAAACACAUUCCAAUCAAUAACGUUCAUCAUUAAUUCAUCCUAUGGAUCUGAAAAGAUGCUUGUCGGAUCAAAUAAUAAUUUGAUCACCGAAAUAUCAAGGCAAAUGAUACCGGAUGAUCCUUUCAGGCCGCGCCGGUCCGCUUUGAAGCGGUCUUGGAGCACCGUGGGACCGUUUCCUCGUUCCCUUUGGAUCCAUCCAAGUGUACCGGAGGAUGACUUUGACCGAAUCUGUGUCAAAAUAUGGAGAGACUCGAAGAAAGCUGAAUUUGGAAUGUGGCCACAUAUGGAGGAGGACAGUAUGACCCCAGCUAAUGAACACCCACAGGCCCCACGAGCCCCACCGGCCCAGGACCGGCGCGCAGAAGAGGAUCCGGUCCCCACUGUGAGGCCUCAAAACAUCCACUGCGAAGUCCGAGACAAUGCGUGUCUUGUUACACGGUGGAAACCUAUGUUUAUCAAAAUCACGGAUCCAAGGCUGGAUGAGAUCUCUCUGAUGGUGGAGAGGGAGUUCCAGACUUUGACGUCACAGACAGAGAAAGAUCGACAUGACCUCUCCGUCUCCUCUCAGCGCCCUGACGAUGUCCGGUGUGACGACUGUUCCCAUGGCGAUGACCCCAUAUGGGAGACACAGGUGGAGAAGAAGAAGGAGGAGGAAAAGGUGAACCCAGAGGAGGAGCAAAGGAGGGACAUUGCCAAGUACCUCAGGGGCCUCCUGAUCCCAGGGCAGGAGGGUAGAGGGGAGGACAGUUCCAUCAUGGUGGAACCUCUCCAUAUUCCUAACCCUUACCUGUUGGACUCCAUCCUGCUGAACCCUGACCUCGGUGCUAACCUCUCCCAUUUAGUUCCUGACUUGCUCCCUGAUCUCUCAUCCCUGCUCCCCAACCUGGCCCCCAACCUGGCCCCCAGCCUGCUCCCCAACCUGGCCCCCGACCUGGCCCCCGACCUGGCCCCCGACCUGGCCCCCGACCUGGCCCCCAGCCUGGCCCCCAGCCUGGCCCCCAACCUGCUCCCCAACCUGCUCCCCAACCUGGCCCCCAACCUGGCCCCCAGCGAAGACGACUUUCCCCCUCUGCCGAACGCCGCGUCUCCAUGGCAAGGUGACAGGCUGUGGCAGGGCUCUCCGCCUGCCAACCUCCCCAAGCCUCUCAUCCCCAUCCCUGGCCCCUUCAACCUUCUGGGCAAAGUACCUGCCUGUAUCAAGGCCUCAGCUUCAGGUCCAGCCUCAACUCCUGUCCCAGUCCCAACUCCAGCCAAGGUCCCAGUCAUCCAGGUCACAGCCACAGCCCGUUCUUCAACUCCAGCCCCAGCCAAGGUCCCAGCCAUCAGGAUUACAGACCAAACCAAGGCCCUAGCUUCAUCUCCAUCAACAACCCAACAGGAGCUUUAUGACCUGAUGGCUGACUUCCCAGCCCUCCAGCCCCAGGGGAAAGCACCUCCACUGGGCUUACAGCAGCCUGCCAAUGCCCCGUGCCGGGCUCCAACCAUCAAUGUGGAGCUACUUCUCCAGGACCUGCCCUACAGCGCCUUGUUCAAGGCCCAGGAAGGUGACCGGGAGCUGGGCAGACAGGAUGGUAAAAGAGGGGUCAAGGGACCCAAGAAGAUAGAGUCAGAACCUGAGGAGCAACCUCGGGACAUUCCCAUUGUUACUGAUGAUGUUGACCAGUGGCCUGAGAUCAUCACUACCAAGCAGCCUGUAUUCACCCAAGCAACUCAACAGGUUAUAGCAGAUGGUGCCAGCGCGUGGGUUGGCAGUGCCAACGACAGAGUGAGGAGAGCAGCUGCCCCCCUCCUCCAGAAAGCCAGGCCCCUCCGCAGCCCCCAGGAGGGUCCAGAGAGGAGGCAGACGACACCCCCCGUGGUCCUUACCGCCCCCGCUGCAGCCCCCACCAUUGCCGACAUUGCUGCAGCUUUCGCCACCAGCACUGCCGCCAAUGACCUGCCUCAGGAGAGCAAAGCCGCCCCCCACCAGCAGGCCCGUUCCCCUUCCCUCCCGGACAUCCCACCAACCAACCAAUGGGGAUCUCAUCGUUAUGCUGGGUUCCGCCCUCAGAAUGCCCAUCGGCCUGGCUUCACCUGCCCACCCCAGCACCGCCAGGAUUCACCCGGGCCGACCGAGGCCCCAAACGGAACAUCUUCUAACCCAACGAGACGGCGGCCAUUUUAAAUGAUUCGUCUUCGAUUUUGGUUUAUGUUUCUUUUUUUUUUUAAUAUUAUUGUUUAAUUAGUACAUUAAUUAGUUUGCCUCUGUUUUUUAGCUUUGUAAUAAAUACAUACUUUCCUUUUUGUUGGUGUUCUUACUUUAGAUUGGAGCGAAUAAUGUUAUAAUAUAAAUUCAACCAUCUCUAUUUUAACUUUGUAAUGAAUGUUUUUUUAAAUGUUUAUUUUUAUACAGCUUGAUAUGAUGAAAAAGCAGCUCAGAUAUAGAACAUGUACAAAUGGACCGUAACCAUUGGGUUCUACCGCGCUGAUAUACCGUGCAUUAUAGGGAAAUGACGCACGCUCUAGAAUGCCCCUCAGGCCAAUCACGGUCAAAUGAAGUAAUAAGGCCCAAGAGGGUGUGGUAUAUGACCAAUUUACCACGACUGUGGGCCGUUCUUGUGCACGACGCAACGCAGAGUACAGCACGGGCUACAUCCCUUAGCCUUGCUAUAUUAGCCGUAUACCCCAAAAUCCCCGUCGUGCCGUAUUUUAUAUUGUAAACUGGUUACCAACAUCUUUAGAGGAGUAAAAAUAAAUGUUUUGUCAUACCUGUGGUAUACCACGUCUGUCAGCCAAUCAGCAUUCAGGCCUCGAUCCACCCCAGGUUUAUAUGAAUAAAUAAUGCAUUUCAAAUCAUUGCAUUUUUCCUCCGUUCUGGGCUACAAUGCAUAUUUCAUCAGGCCAGUGAAAUAUUAAGCACACUUACAAUUUUAUAUUCUCUCACUUCCAAAGGGGGUAUUACUUUGUUGUAUUUCAACAAUAUCACACUUCACACAGACUGUUGUUUUGUUGAUUCAGACUGUUGUUUUGUUGAUUCAGACUGUUGUUUUGUUGAUUCAGACUGUUGUUUUGUUGAUUCAGACUGUUGUUUUGUUGAUUCAGACUGUUGUUUUGUUGAUUCAGACUGUUGUUGAUUCAGACUUGUUUUGUUGAUUCAGACUUGUUUUGUUGAUUCAGACUGUUGUUUUGUUGAUUCAGACUGUUGUUUUGUUGAUUCAGACUGUUGUUUUGUUGAUUCAGACUGUUGUUUUGUUGAUUCAGACUGUUGUUUUGUUGAUUCAGACUGUUGUUGAUUCAGACUGUUGUUGAUUC
rnacentral:lncRNA from 8 species